GACGAACGCUGGCGGCGUGCCUAAUACAUGCAAGUCGAGCGCAGGAAACUGACGGAACUCUUCGGAGGGAAGGCAGCGGAAUGAGCGGCGGACGGGUGAGUAACACGUAAGGAACCUGCCUCAAGGAUUGGGAUAACUCCGAGAAAUCGGAGCUAAUACCGGAUAGUUCAACGGACCGCAUGGUCCGCUGAUGAAAGGCGCUUCGGCGUCACCUUGAGAUGGCCUUGCGGUGCAUUAGCUAGUUGGUGGGGUAACGGCCCACCAAGGCGACGAGGCAUAGCCGACCCGGGAGGGUGAUCGGCCACACUGGGACUGAGACACGGCCCAGACUCCUACGGGAGGCAGCAGUAGGGAAUCUUCCACAAUGGACGAAAGUCUGAUGGAGCAACGCCGCGUGAGUGAUGAAGGUUUUCGGAUCGUAAAACUCUGUUGUAAGGGAAGAACACGUACGAGAGGGAAUGCUCGUACCUUGACGGUACCUUACGAGAAAGCCACGGCUAACUACGUGCCAGCAGCCGCCGUAAAAC
rnacentral:rRNA from 1 species